rnacentral:rRNA from 1 species
AGUGAACGCUGGCGGCGUGCCUAAUACAUGCAAGUCGAACGGAGUGGCGCAAGGGUGAGUAAUAUAUAGCUAAUUUGCCCCUUGCUGGAGGAAAACAGUUAGAAAUGACUGCUAAUACUCCAUAGCAAGGGAUGUGACUAUAUCGUAUCAGCUAGUCGGUGGUGUAACGGCCUAUCUAGGCUAUGACGCGUAACUGAUCUGAGAGGAUGCUCAGUCACAUUGGAACUGAGACACGGUAGAAAAGCCUACGAGAGGCAGCAGUACGGCAUAAUGCGCAAUGGGGGAAACCAUGACGCAGCAGCGCGGCGUGGAGGAUGACACUUUUCGGAGCGUAAACACAUUUUGUUAGGCAAGCGGUACCUAACGAAUAAGCACCGGCUAACUCCGUGCCAGCAGCCGCGGUAAUAC